AACAGGAUUAGAUACCCUGGUAGUCCACGCCGUAAACGAUGUCGACUUGGAGGUUGUGCCCUUGAGGCGUGGCUUCCGGAGCUAACGCGUUAAGUCGACCGCCUGGGGAGUACGGCCGCAAGGUUAAAACUCAAAUGAAUUGACGGGGGCCCGCACAAGCGGUGGAGCAUGUGGUUUAAUUCGAUGCAACGCGAAGAACCUUACCUACUCUUGACAUCCAGAGAACUUAGCAGAGAUGCUUUGGUGCCUUCGGGAACUCUGAGACAGGUGCUGCAUGGCUGUCGUCAGCUCGUGUUGUGAAAUGUUGGGUUAAGUCCCGCAACGAGCGCAACCCUUAUCCUUUGUUGCCAGCGGUUAGGCCGGGAACUCAAAGGAGACUGCCAGUGAUAAACUGGAGGAAGGUGGGGAUGACGUCAAGUCAUCAUGGCCCUUACGAGUAGGGCUACGCACGUGCUACAAUGGCAUAUACAAAGAGAAGCGACCUCGCGAGAGCAAGCGGACCUCAUAAAGUAUGUCGUAGUCCGGAUUGGAGUCUGCAACUCGACUCCAUGAAGUCGGAAUCGCUAGUAAUCGUGGAUCAGAAUGCCACGGUGAAUACGUUCCCGGGCCUUGUACACACCGCCCGUCACACCAUGGGAGUGGGUUGCAAAAGAAGUAGGUAGCUUAACCUUCGGGAGGGCGCUUACCACUUUGUGAUUCAUGACUGGGGUGAAGUCGUAACAAGGUAACC
rnacentral:rRNA from 1 species